GUGGAGGUCGUUAGCCGUGGUAGGCAAUCUGCCUAGGAGAGCAAACUCUAUACAAACCCGGGCAGGUGAGGCUCGUUAGCCGUGGUAGGCAAUUCACCUAGGAGAGCAAACUCUAUACAAACCCGGGCAGGUGGAGGUCGUUAGCCGUGGUAGGCAAUUCACCUAGGAGAGCAAACUCCGAACAAUAAACCCGGGCAGGUGGAGGUCGUUAGCCGUGGUAGGCAAUUCACCUAGGAGAGCAAACUCCGAACAAUAAACCCGGGCAGGUGGAGGUCGUUAGCCGUGGGAGGCAAUUCACCUAGGAGAGCAAACUCCGAACAAUAAACCCGGGCAGGUGGAGGUCGUUAGCCGUGGGAGGCAAUUCACCUAGGAGAGCAAACUCCGAACAAUAAACCCGGGCAGGUGGAGCUCGUUAGCCGUGGGAGGCAAUUCACCUAGGAGAGCAAACUCUAAACAAACCCGGGCAGGUGAGGCUCGUUAGCCGUGGUAGGCAAUUCACCUAGGAGAGCAAACUCCGAACAACAAACCCGGGCAGGUGGAGGUCGUCAGCCGUGGUAGGCAAUCUUCCUAGGAGAGCAAACUCCGAACAACAAACCCGGGCAGGUGGAGGUCGUCAGCCGUGGUAGGCAAUCUUCCUAGGAGAGCAAACUCCGAACAAUAAACCCGGGCAGGUGGAGCUCGUCAGCCGUGGUAGGCAGUCUGCCUAGGAGAGCAAACUCUAAACAAACCCGGGCAGGUGGAGGUCGUCAGCCGUGGUAGGCAAUCUGCCUAGGAGAGCAAACUCUAAAUAAACCCGGGCUUGUGGUGCUCGUUAUACUGUCGUAGACAAUCCACGCGAUGGGAACACCAAAGAAAAGGAAAAUAAAAAAGAACACCAGAAAAAUGGAAAAUACAGAAACGAAACAUCAAGAAAAGAAACAAAAAGAUCAUCCACCUUUAGGCCCUAACAUCGCCAAAAUUAUGGGUGGGUCUCUUCUGGGGAGAAAGCGGCUCACCCAGACCAAAGAACAUCAACAAGGGAUGAUAUAGAAAAGAACACCAAAAAAAUAUGGAAAAAGAACAGAAAAAACAUCGAAAAAGAAAAGCAACAGAAAUAAAUGAGCAACAUCGAGAAAAGAGAAAUACAAAGAAACAUCAUCCACCUUUCGGCCCCAAACAACAUCACCAAAA